AUGUCGAUGCCAAGUCCUUGGUUCCUCUGCAAUGUACGCCCAUCCCUGACCGAUUCUGCAGAGACGUCGCCCGUCUUCUUCAUUCACAACGAGCACGGCUGUUGUACUGCUCGUGCGCGUCAAGUUCCUCUUCCUCGAGCCGUCCCGUCCGUGGCCUCCCGCGAGCCGCCGUCCAGGACCCCGACAGGUCGCGACACUCGCCGGAGUUGGAGUCUCGCAGUGCCAUGGAUAUGGAGUCCCGCACCCGAGCUCCGCCCGCCACCGUUGCCCGGAACCGACGCCGGACGACUCGACCCGCCCGUUCCAGCCGGUUCCCCUCGAUCCCAUCGCCAGGACCCUUGUCGUUGUCUUCUCCAUUGCCUUGUUCUGUUGUUGUUUCUGUUUUCUUCAGGAACGAGAACCGCAGCAGUUCGCCCGCUCGUCUCGCUCGUGCGUUGA
rnacentral:rRNA from 1 species